rnacentral:tRNA from 1 species
AAGACCUGUAGUAUUCUAAAAUACAUCAUCUGAUUGCAACUCAGACACUUUAAUUAAGCUAAAAUCUUC